rnacentral:rRNA from 1 species
UACAGAGGUCCCAAGCGUUGUUCGGAUUCACUGGGCGUAAAGGGUGCGUAGGCGGUCGGGUAAGUCUGAUGUGAAAUCUCACAGCUUAACUGUGAAACUGCAUUGGAUACUAUUCGGCUUGAGAGUUGGAGGGGGGACUGGAAUUCUUGGUGUAGCAGUGAAAUGCGUAGAUAUCAGGAGGAAUACCGAUGGCGAAGGCAGGUCUCUGGGCUGACACUGACGCUCAUGCACGAAAGCGUGGGGAGCAAACAGG